rnacentral:rRNA from 1 species
AACGAACGCUGGCGGCAGGCUUAACACAUGCAAGUCGAACGCAUCCUUCGGGGUGAGUGGCAGACGGGUGAGUAACGCGUGGGAAUCUACCUCUUGCUACGGGAUAGCUCCGGGAAACUGGAAUUAAUACCGUAUGUGGCCUAUGGGCGAAAGAUUUAUCGGCAAGGGAUGAGCCCGCGUUGGAUUAGCUAGUUGGUGGGGUAAAGGCCUACCAAGGCGACGAUCCAUAGCUGGUCUGAGAGGAUGAUCAGCCACAUUGGGACUGAGACACGGCCCAAACUCCUACGGGAGGCAGCAGUGGGGAAUAUUGGACAAUGGGCGCAAGCCUGAUCCAGCCAUGCCGCGUGAGUGAUGAAGGUCUUAGGAUUGUAAAGCUCUUUCACCGGGGACGAUAAUGACGGUACCCGGAGAAGAAGCCCCGGCUAACUUCGUGCCAGCAGCCGCCGUAA